GAUGAACGCUGGCGGCGUGCCUAAUACAUGCAAGUCGAGCGAACAGAUGAGGAGCUUGCUCCUCUGACGUUAGCGGCGGACGGGUGAGUAACACGUGGAUAACCUACCUAUAAGACUGGGAUAACUUCGGGAAACCGGAGCUAAUACCGGAUAAUAUAUUGAACCGCAUGGUUCAAUAGUGAAAGACGGUUUUGCUGUCACUUUUAGAUGGAUCCGCGCUGCAUUAGCUAGUUGGUAAGGUAACGGCUUACCAAGGCAACGAUGCGUAGCCGACCUGAGAGGGUGAUCGGCCACACUGGAGCGGAGACACGGUCCAGACUCCUACGGGAGGCAGCAGUAGGGAAUCUUACGCAAAGGGCGAAAGCCUGACGGAGCAACGCCGCGUGAGUGAUGAAGGUCUUCGGAUCGUAAAACUCUGUUAUUAGGGAAGAACAGAUGUGUAAGUAACUGUGCACGUCUUGACGGUACCUAAUCAGAAAGCCACGGCUAACUACGUG
rnacentral:rRNA from 1 species